GGUACUUCACCACUUGUACGCGCUCUCAUGGCUUCAGUUCUCUUUGAGUUGUUGAAUCCGAUUGUCGUCGUUCACUUGCAAACCGUCGUACGCACGAAACAAUAUAAGAACCAUACAAAAUAUCGCUAGCAACUGUUGCUUUUAUCUAUGCAAAGCAUUUUGUGUGCUCGCCACCAAUCAAAUUAGUGAAUUGUGCAAAUAGGAGAAGAAAAUAAAUGUAAACAAGAAAACUGCAUCUGUUCCAAAGCAAAUGUUAGUGAUUAGAAGUCAAUUGGUGUUGCAGUGCAUAUUCUCCUUCCAGUGAAAUAUUUUGUGUGGUUUCAGUGCGAUUUUUGCUGGUAGGCCUUCGGUGCGCUGCUCUUUUGUGUGUUGUGCUCUUAUCCCUGAACGAAGUUACAGUGCAGCAGCAUUCUUUGUUGUCACAGGGCGCGCACAUUGGAAUUUUGCUUACUAACAACGAAGUGCCCACAAGUCCUACCCCCCCAAAAACCGUUGCCUAGUUGCGUUACGUAGUGUUUUGAUUUUUCACCUACCUAUUUAUUUUACGUUUGGCUUCCCAACGUUAUUCGUUACUUGGCUUUCUGGCUUACCUUCUUAUUUACAUACUCUACAUGCAUACAUAUACAUAUGUAUAUGUGUGAAUAUGAGUGCACUCGUCGGACGUGCGGUCGGUCGUUAAUGUCAGUGCAUUUGUUGAUGCUAGAAACCGGUUAUUGCUCCCCAACAAAUAGCGUAAAUGUUUCAAAUAGGUAGGUGUUGCUGUGUGCGGUUCUGCCAAUGAAGAAGCCCAUAAAAGCCAUUGGCGAGAAAAGAAAAAAUCUGUAAUAACAAAAUAAGUUAAGAUAGUUUUGCGCUAAAAAAUUCAAAACAAUGAAAAACGAAAAAAUGCACAUAAACAAAAUAACUCAAUUGAAGGCAUAACAUCAACAAUAAAAAAUAUUAAAGAACCAACGCUAUUUAGCUCCGAAGUUUAGUGGGGAAAAAACAACAACAACAUAAGUGAACAAAUAAAGUCUGCAGGCAACUACAACAACUGUGUCAACGGCAAGUGCAAAAGCUUUGUUUGCUGCACCAAAAACAACAACGCUCAAUACGAACAAGUGUACAUACAUAUGUAUGUGUAAGUAUAUGUGUAAAUAUUUACUAUAUACAUACAUAUGUAUGUUCUGUUGCAUUAAAAUCCGUUGCAAAUUCAAUGACACGCGAAGCUGCGCAGUUAAAUCAAAAGGUUAAUUGAUUUUUAAUUAAAAAGAAAGUCGGCACACUAGCGCAUAUGUAUGUAUGAAUGUACAUACAUAUGUAAAAUAUUUGCAUUUGAUUUGACUUUAAGUGGAAAUCCAGUUUUGUGAAAUUAAAAUAAUAAAUAUGUAUGUAAAUGCCAACGCACGACACAAGUGUAAAAAAGUAAAGAAUUUUGUCGCAGCGCAAGUUAUCAACAGCAAUAAAGAUUUUCCACAAUUUACCACAACAUCAAAAUUACUUUAGACGUCAACAAAGACCUGAAAGAUUGCUAUUGAGUUCGCCUUCCAAAGUAUAAAAUACUAGUGUUUUGCGGGACACUUUCCAAAAUAAUUUUUUGCUGGAACUUCACAACAAAAAUGUCAAUGAAUAUGUGUACAACAGGCAGAUAAAAAAAAACAACAACCAAAUAUAAAUGCUAGAACAGAAAAGUGAUUUGUACGCAUGGACGGAAGAAUAGCCGGCGGAGAAAUAAAGAAACCCAUAAAAGAAAGCGAAAACGAUUGAUAUUAAAAAAGCAACAACAAUUUACAAUUUUCUGUGGUAAAAAAAUUAGAAACGAAAUCGGAAACCGUAAAGAUUAAGUCGUCAAACCGGCAUGAAAGCAAUGAAAAUUCAUUAGAAAGCAACAACAACAACAACAAAAACAAUCAAUUAA
rnacentral:lncRNA from 1 species